GACGACCGGGUCCUGCGCGGCGGGUCCUUCCGAACCGUGUCAGGUCCUGACGGAAGCAGCACUAAGGAAGAUCGCCCGGGUGCCGCAGGGUAGCCUGGUCCGAGCCACCC
rnacentral:SRP_RNA from 1 species